GAAACAGCACCUCCCUUGAAACCUGUUGCUAUUCUUGCUCAAGGAUAGAGGGGAUCUUUUGGAAAGGCUGACCCUGGGGCUCUGCGAAACCUGACUGUUCUUGGGUGCCCAGCUGGAAGACACCUGCAAACUCAACAGGUUUUCAGUGUUGGAAACAGACAGAGUAUGGAUAAAAAUUGGCAGGAAAACGUGAAAAGCUUCAGGAUUUUGAGUCAGGUGGCAGAACAUUCGGGAAGCUUCUGGCACACCACAGAUGGUAGCUAGACUGAGGAUACAACAUAAUAUUAAACUGUAUAAGAAUAUUGUAUUAGAAUGGAACCGAGUCAGGAGAACACACAAACAGGGUUAUAUAUCUGCAAUAACCUAUUCUCCUUAUAGAAUUAGGUGUAAUAAUUCCAUAUUUUACUAUAAUGUUCCAUUUCUGGUGAAUCUGUACAUGAAGCCAUAUUUAAAUCUUUCAGUCUCAGGACUGUUAGCCUGGUGUGUUAUUUGGUUGUUGUACCUUUUC